GAAUAUCCAAGGUAUCUCUAAGCUCCCAAUUCACAUCACUAAGCCUCAAAAUGGUAAAGGUAAGGAAGACAAAGUUCUCAGCAUCUCUCCCAGGGCUAUGUUCAUUGCAUCCACAGGCCGCACUUUCCUAGCUGCAGACUUCUCGCAGAUUGAAUUGCGCAUUCUUACACACUUAUCGGGAGACCCAGAACUUCUGAAGUUAUUCCAGGAGUCAGAACAAGAUGAUGUCUUUUCGGCCCUGGCUUCCCAGUGGUAAGAUAUGUGAGCUCACCAUAUUAUCGGAUCUGCAGGGGCGCCGGCGCAACUUCAGACGCCUGAAAGAACCUCA